UUCGGAGCCCACCGGCUGCUGAGGGGAGGAGGCGAAAGGAGGGGGUUGGGAGUCCACCGGCAUUGGGUCGGGGCAGCAGGGACUUCAGGCGGCGGCGUGGGGGGCUAGAUCCGGAGGAGAGGGGAGGGGUGGCGGGGGUCGGAGGAGCACGCAGGGCGGAGGGGUGUGGGGCUCUUUAAGAGCCACACGGCUAGCAGGAGAGGCGUGCGGCCCUGUGCUGGUAGCGCACUGACCCCGAAGGGGAUUUAGCGGGAAGGGAGCGACCGGGUUCUGGGGGCUUUGUCCGGGGGCGCCCAGAAAGGCCGAGGCACAAGAAUAAGAAGCGGCUGCAGCGUGAAAGGCUGCGAGGAGCGGCGGCGCUGCUGCUCUUGACUUCUGAGCAGGGCUUAGAAGGCCUGCCCCGGCUUAAGCUGAACUGAGGGUGCAGAGUCCUGAACGCCGAGUUCACGAGCCCUGAGUCCUGGCCUCUAGGCUGAGGAGGCGUGGGAUAGGGGCGGACGCUGGAGUAGUGGGUCUUCUUGCGACAACCCCUUCGUGGAUCUUACAGCCUUGCUACCCUAGCGCAAGGUUGUUAGCCUAGCCCGCCGCGUCUGGCAUAGCCAAAGAAAUUUACUUUCCCAGCUUGGCUUUUGCUUUUGUGUGUCCACCUCGAGCAGAUCCGGAGCUGGCCGACCCCAGACUGAUUCUCAACAGGUGGCUGGCGAUCAGAGGAGAAUGGCCAGGCUGAGGGGGAAGCGAGGAACAUAUGGGCCCAAGUAGGAUCCUGAAAGAAUUUCGAGAUGCUCCGAGCCCAAAUCAUACAGGCUCUAAGUAUUGGUCAAUAACCAGGAGUGAAACAGAAACUUAGACCACACACUCAAGUCCUUCUUUCUGAAUGAGGGGCUCCAGUGCUAGGCCACAAGUGGCCGCUAUGGACGCUGCAUCAUGGAGUCUCACCUGGUCCCUCCUUCAACCACGCACCUCAGACGGCAAGGAGAGCUAGAUGAGAAGGAGCUGGGGCUCUUGCGAUCUGCAGAGGCAGCACGCUGGUCAGGAGGAACCCAGAACACCUGCCUCAGACACAGCCAGUUUGUCCACACACAAAAGGCAGGGACCCUCAGGGCUGAGGGGCUAUUAAGUCAAACCUGGAGUCACAGCCCCAAUGUCCUCAGACGGUCCCCAACCCUCUGCAGCAAUGUGGACAGUGUGCCUGAAAAGCUUCUUCUCUGAGCUUUAACAACUUUCUGGUGUAACUUCUGAGAGGGCUGAUUGCUUAUUCAUGUGGAAGCAAGACGCCCAGUCCGUUUUGCCUGUUUUUGCUACUCUUUGUUGUCUCGGGGGGAGUGUUAUGGUAGCUGCAAAUGGCUUCUCCAGUGACAUUUGCUGACAUUCAGUGAAGUACAUUUAUCAGCGCUUGCGAGCUCACCUCCGCACAUGCAAUCCAUUUUGUUUUGUUCUUCAUGGUAACCCCCUUCCCAACACCCGUGCCCUGAAAAUGAUGAAGGGCAGGCGGCGCAUUUCUCAAGCUGCACUCAAAUGUCACUGUGAAAAAUCUUUAAUGGACUAAGUGUAGCUUUUCACGUUACAACUUGUCAGGUACUGAGAAAUUCUAGAGUUUCUCCUUAAUCCACGAGUCAUUGGAACCACACAUCUGCAGGUAGACUAAUUAUAAGCUGUACCAGUCAGAACCGGGCAAGCAGAGACCAAGGAGAACACAUUCGCUAUCAGUUAAUUUUUUAUUACUAUCAUUAUUAUUAUUAUUCUCAUUCCACUUCAUCUCCUACUCAGAAUAUGCUAGGUAUGAGCAAUGUGUUACUCUAAUUAAUUGAGUGACAGCCCCCAACUAGCUCUCCAUGCAGGCUUACAGUCUCUACGCACUCAGCUUUCCCAGUAACGUUUUUCAUCUUUCCCUCCAACGUAGCUGACUCUGAAUCAUAGUCCUGGUCCCUUAGGGUUGGCCAUGACGGAGCCGCCGAGAGGAACUGAGAUGUGUCCCGUCUCCUGUCCACCUAGUUAUCCCUCAUCGGAGGACAUGGCAUUGGAGCCAAGGGACUCACAUCACCAAUGUGUAAGCCUGCAUUUUCCUCCCCGCACCUGGUCGGAGCAGUGCCACCCACACUCACAGUGGUGGCCUACAGACUCCCUCUAAGCCUUGCAUAGGGGUUUGCUAGGUCUGGUUUUAGCCCCUUUGAAAGGACUCAGCUCAGUGGCUGUUCUUCAUGGGUGAAUCAGCCCACACUCUACUGGCCAUGGCUUCUAUGUUCUGCCCCUGCUUCUCGGUUCUCAGGCAGGAACCUCAUCACCCAUGUGUUACUGUUACGAUGGGUUCUCUGGAAUGCUGCUAGCUCAUUCAGGUGAGACCAUCAUCAUCAUCACCAUCAUCAUCAUCAUCACCAUCAUCAUCAUCAUCACAUUCUAUUUAUAUGAGCACACUGUAGCUGUCUUCAGACACACCAGAAGAGGGCAUUGGAUCCCAUUACGGGUAGUUGUGAGCCACCAUUACUCACAAUUGCUGGGAACUGAACUCAGGUCCUCUGCAAGAGUAGUCAGUGCUCUUAACGGCUGAGCCAUCUCUUCUCCAGUGCUGCAGGUGGAAUUUUAGGAGCAAGCUUCAGAGAGAUAUCUUGUUCCCUUCCACAAUGUAAACUAGAAAGUAGGAUCUCGCAAACAUGGACUCUGCCGGGCUGGUGACCUUCAAACUCUCGGCUUCUAGAACUGUUCACAAUAAAAUUCUGUUCCUUAUAAGGUA
rnacentral:lncRNA from 1 species